ensembl:lncRNA
CGUUGGGGCCGGGACCACCACCCGCUGCAGGGUGCCUUCUCCCUGGAGCGCCUCGGCAACGCCCCCGCAGCUCUCCUGCAAGAUCAGCAUACUGCAGGUCAAAGGUCGAGGGCAUAUCCUCCAGGUGUACACGCCGGCGGCGGAGAGUGAAAAGGGACCGAUUCCUCUCUUCCCACUGUCCCCUCAACUCCGAGUCAGGGUCCAAUGCCUUCAAGAUCCCCCCGUCCAUCCAUCAGUGCAUCUGUGUCACCUUUGACUCGGCCAACUCCAAGGGCAAGGACUGUCAACUGCUCCAACACCACGUACACUGGUAGACAGAACAUUGUGACCCGGGGGUCUGCAUCGCAUCACGCUCUGCAAGUUUGUUUUUCCUCCGUUCUCAUUAAGAAGGGCAACAAUAGCGCACCGUCACUAGCUAACAACGCUGCGUAUGACUCAGGGAAAAAACAAGCACAAACUCUCUCACCACUGUCUCCUCCACCUGGCUCCAGCUAUUACUUCGAGGUCGUUACACGUUUCCGAACCACGGAAACACUAUGUUUCUGUUGUUCGGACGAUGUUCACGAUUCAGAACGAACACACGGUUCUAGAGGAAGCAUUAUCAACUCAGUCCAGAUACCACCGAAUCAUGAACGUUGUUUGCAAGUAAUCAAGUUUAUAUGAUUUUUCAGAUAAUUUUUUAUUGCUCAUCACUUAAUUGGAUGGCGCUGGGUAAUGUGAGCAUCAAAAGGGUUGCUCUGAACCGACGCUUUUCGAAAGAGAUGCAAUGUGUGAACAUUUCCACAGCUGGAUUCUGAAACGACAACACCAGGCGUGGCAAGAAUAGCAAGAGUUUAACUGCAUGCGUAACCCAGUAAAAGCCCACCAGCAGGGGUAAUAAAGUAAUGUACCUUGUUAAGCAGAUUUUCUUUGCAAUUAUUUCUUAAGGGGGCUCUGGCUUCACUAAAGCGUCCUCACCUUAAUGAUUAGAGGGUGGGGCUCUGGCAGGCCGGCACAUGGGAAACAUUGCCUGCUGGAUGCAGGCUACCAUUAGAUCCUAAAUAUGGGGGAUUUGAUUCUAUAAUGCAUUUUUCCCUGCAAGCAAUUAGGUGUGUUUAUGUGGAUCCUUGCAAAGGACUCAUUAAAACUGCAAAGUAAACUCCAAAAAAUUAUAUAUCGACGUCAACAUUGUCCAGUUUUAUUCGAUAAUAAACACUAUCUCAGCCACUUUCAAUUCUGGAAUAAAAUACAUAAAAUAUUUGAAAGUAAACAAACCUCUAAUCUAGUUAAAUAUAGUCAGGGACCUUGUUGAAACUUUCAUUUGGAACAUAGUUGGAAAAGUUUCAAAACUUAGUAUGCAACGUUGUUUAUUUUUGCUGAUUCUUAUUUUCCAUAUUUACCUUUCCAUCCUCCUCUUUCCACCGGCCUCUCCCU